UACGUAGGGUGCGAGCGUUGCCCGGAUUUAUUGGGCGUAAAAGGGCGCGCAGGCGGUACGGCACGUCCGUUGUGAAAUCGCUCGGCGUCAACUGGGCCGGGGUCAGCGGAUACGGCCGCACUCGAGCAAGCUAGGGGGCAAUGGAAUUCCCGGGUGUAGUGGUGGAAUGCGUAGAUAAUCGGGAGGAACACCAGUGGCGAAGGCGGUUGCCUGGAGCUUUGCUGACGCUGAGGCGCGAAAGCGUGGGGAGCGAUCCGG
rnacentral:rRNA from 1 species